UGGCGGACGGGUGAGUAAUACAUCGGAACGUGCCCGAUCGUGGGGGAUAACGAAGCGAAAGCUUUGCUAAUACCGCAUACGAUCUACGGAUGAAAGCAGGGGACCGCAAGGCCUUGCGCGAACGGAGCGGCCGAUGGCAGAUUAGGUAGUUGGUGAGAUAAAAGCUUACCAAGCCGACGAUCUGUAGCUGGUCUGAGAGGACGACCAGCCACACUGGGACUGAGACACGGCCCAGACUCCUACGGGAGGCAGCAGUGGGGAAUUUUGGACAAUGGGCGAAAGCCUGAUCCAGCCAUGCCGCGUGCAGGAUGAAGGCCUUCGGGUUGUAAACUGCUUUUGUACGGAACGAAAAGACUCUGGUUAAUACCUGGGGUCCAUGACGGUACCGUAAGAAUAAGCACCGGCUAACUACGUGCCAGCAGCCGCGGUAAU
rnacentral:rRNA from 1 species